rnacentral:lncRNA from 1 species
CGCCGCAGAACGGAAAAUUCUAGAAAUAACAUUUUGAUCACCGCCGCACACAUGGGUGAACAAACCCAGGUACAGACCCAAACCCAAUCUCAAUCGCCGGCAUCGUCUCAACCUAAUUCUGAUGUAACAUCCGCAACACAGCCCACUCCUGUAGCCGACGUCUCCAUCAAUGCCGACGUUUCCCAGAAGCCCUCCAAUCCUUCCAAAAUACCUAUUCGACCUCAAAAAAUCCGAAAGCUGUCAUCUAACCCUACUUCCACCAUUGCCACCACCCCCGUUGUUCUCACCGCCGUUAACUCCUCCUCCAUGCCCACCUUGCAGACUUCCGAGGCCAAAGCCCUACAAAUUACUGAUUCUUCCUCCUCCCCUUCUGCCAUUCCUAUUCCGACCACUGCUUCCUCCUCCUCUACCACCACCACUACCAUCACCUCCACCUCCGCGUCGACCAGCACUGCUGUUACCUCCACCACAGUUUCCACACCCACGGCAUCUACGCCCAAGAAUCGGAGGCGUAGUGCUGUCCAAUCAGCUAGGGUUCUGCCCCAGAUCAUCAAACCCCUGUCGGCCGAGGGUGAAAUCAAUGCCGCUCUCCACCACCUCCGCGUUGUUGACCCUUUACUUGCUACCCUGAUCGAUACCCACCAGCCUCCGGCAUUUGAGUCUCACCACUCCCCAUUCCUUGCCCUCACCAAGAGCAUUCUCUAUCAGCAACUCGCCUACAAAGCAGGCACCUCAAUCUACAAUCGCUUUGUAGCGCUCUGCGGUGGCGAGACUGCAGUUCUUCCCGACAAUGUGCUGGGUCUAUCUGCUCAGGAGCUCAAGCAAGUCGGUGUCUCUGGUAGAAAAGCCAGCUAUUUAUAUGACCUCGCAAAUAAGUAUAAAUCUGGGAUUUUAUCGGAUGAAACUGUGGUCAAAAUGGAUGAUAAGUCAUUGUUUACCAUGCUAUCCAUGGUCAAGGGAAUUGGGUCAUGGUCAGUUCACAUGUUCAUGAUUUUUUCACUGCACAGGCCAGAUGUUUUGCCAGUGAGUGAUUUGGGAGUGAGGAAAGGAGUGCAGAUGUUGUAUGGAUUGGAGGAGUUACCUAGACCUUCACAAAUGGAGCAAUUAUGUGAGAAAUGGAGGCCAUAUAGGUCAGUUGGUGCUUGGUAUAUGUGGCGGUUUGUGGAAGGAAAGGGAUCAC